AAAACAGUUCAUUUUUAUCUCAAAGUAAUUAAUCAACAGAAUGAUGUAUUUAAUGCAGAUGCUAUAUCUUUUGAGAUUGUACGCAGAAUUGGACAGCCAUGUUUAAAAUGCUGACAGGAUUAACAGCCAGAAAAGUGUAGAUAAUGAGACACUGAAUCCAAUGUUGCAUUUUCCAUACAAGAGGAUCUCUAACCCUUUCUCAUAAAAUAUAAGAGUGAAAAUUUCGCCAGAUUUAUAAGUUCUGAUUUGUGAAAGUCUGCAAAUCAAUGAUCUUGAGAUACGCAGAAUUCUGCGAAAAAAUUCCACAUGCCUUGCUACUAGCUUCUAGACCUGGAGGGAUGAUAUGAUAAACCCAGAAUACAAUCACCACUGUUCUGAAAUCAUUUGUUUUCAAACAUUUUUCCAGCAUAUGAAAAUGCAACGGUUAC